AGACAAUCACUUGUGUCAAGAAUCGCGCGACUUAAAAGUGAAAAAGCGCAGUUAGAAAGACGUUUUGUGCACGUUGAUGGCAAUUAUGAAAGUACUAGCGCCGAUGAUAAGAAAUCAAUGUGGCGUGAAAUCGAGGCCGCGUUCAAAAAUCGCAUUGUGACCACAUUUUUAUUAGCGCUGUUAUUAACAUUGGUUAUAUCGAGCCGCGACAUUUUUUGGAGGACGUCAAUAAUCUGGUGAUCGAGCGAGUGCGAGAGACUGUUGAAAAACAUUGUAGUGUAAGGGUAAACACCGUGUUUAAUAGUAAAUUUGUUACAAACGAUAAACGCGCUAAUAAAAAUGUGGCCACUAAAAACUGUGAACUUGAUCGAACUUCAAAUAGGCGCGAGUGAUACGAUCAGCGCGUCAUCGAAGUCACGUUAGCGAUGCUUGACGAAUUUCAGGAACGUGAUAGCGGAUAGACAUUAUCAAUGUUGGGAAUCCUGAAUUUGACAUUAAAUAUAAAUAAAUACAAUCUUUUGCACGCGGGAUGUAAUAUCGUAUUACCAUGUGAAAUUAUGUCUAAAAGAACAGUGAUUAACGUGAAAUCUAAAGACAAUGCGUGUUUCGCGUGGCCAGUGGUGGCUGCUCUGCAUCCAGUCGAACGUAAUACGGAACGCACAUCUUCGCAUUAUAGAACGGUGUUGAACCUUACGAAUAUUGAAUUUCUAAUGUCUUUGAAGAACAUUGUAAAUUUUGAACAGUUAAACAACAUGUCGGAUAACGUGUACAGUGUCGAGAAGAAUGAAAAGGAUUUAAGCAUUCUUCCAAUUCGACUCACCGACAACAAGAAAGAGAAACACGUGAACCUAUUACAUGUGCAAGAUCCACAAGACAACAAUAUUGGACACUUUACAUGAAUCAAAAAUCUGUCUCGUCUCAUGAGCUCACAAUUAAGCAAAAAGCAGCAUAAAAAAUACAUUUGCAAUCGCUGUUUACAGUACUUCAAUUCUUGUGAAAAAUUGGAGGCUUACACAGUGGACUGCAAACAAAUGAACAACUGCGCCAUACGAGCGAGAAGGACAAGUAGCUCAAGUUUGGCAACUAUCGCAACAAAGAGCGCCUACCAUUCAUCGUGUACGGGGAUACCUAAAUCGCGGAUUUGGAGUGUGUUCUGCGCAAGAUAGAUUCAGCGAGGGAGGCAUCAUAUCAGCAUCACGAGCACAUUAACAGGCGAAACGGUGUGGAAAACAAUUACGCACACGUUGUUAACGUGUGACUCAAACACUCGGAAACUAUAGCGAUCUAUACUUGAAGACUAAUGUAUUGUUAUUGGCAGAUAUCUUUGAGAACUUUCGAAACAGUUGCGUCGCUAGUUACGGUCUCGAUUCCGCAUUUUAUUACACAUUGCCUAGUUACACGUGGGAUGCAAUGUAAAAUGUUAAAAAAUUAUGCGUGUAAAAUUUGAACUGCUCACCGACAUUGAUAUGGUAAUAUUAAACGUGGAAUACCUGGCGGUUUCAGCCAAUGUUCUGGCAGAUACGCGCAUGCCAAUAAUAAAUACAUGCAGUCAUAUGAUCCAUCGAAAUCGUCAUCGUGCUUAAUGUACUUUGAUGUAAAUAAUUUGUACGGAUAAGCGGUGUGUCAAUCGCUGCUCUACGGCAAAUUUUGAUGGGUUGAAGACGUCGUGAAAUUUAACGUAAGCGCGAUCGCUCCGGAUUCGUUCAUGGGUUAUAUUCUCGAGGUCAACUUGGAAUAUCCGUGACAUCUCCACAAUGCGCACGCUGAUUUACCGUUCUGUCGAAUGCGCGAUAAAACACCUGUCAAACUACAAGAUGAACUUCGCGCAACACUAUAUGAUAAAAAGCGAUACGUAAUUCAUUAUCGUAACUUGCGGUAAUGUACACGUCACGGUCUUCGCCUAACAAACUUGGAAAUAAUGAUCAGACACACAAACAAAUUGGAUAUAAACAAUAUGGACCAAGUUAUAGUCGUUAAACCUGGGUUCCCAAUUUAUGAACAUAAAUACGCCCGAUAAGUACAAGUACUAUGGUAUUGCAUUAAAAAGAUUAUUUAUCAUUGUGAAAAAAUAUAUCCAUAACAAAAUAGAAAGUUAUAUGAUACAGAGCAAUUAUUAUAUACAGCAAAACUAUUGUUACAUCCGGAGGAUUCCACAAUUUCCCUUUUCGCACUCCUUGCGUAAAAUAUGAAAUAUGAAACAAAGCAAGGAGAUUGUCCUUAAGGUUUAUAACACUCAAUUAUUA